rnacentral:rRNA from 1 species
UAUCGUAUAACGGAGAUGCCCCAGGGCUGUCGCUGACCCUCACAGGUCGUGCACGCCCGAAGGUGCUCUCUCACAUCCGUCUCACCCCUUUGUGCAUCACCGCGUGUGCUUCCCUGUUGGGCUUGUUCCGAGCGGGGGGGUUCACGUUUUUAUACAAACACCAUUUUUUAAAAAGCAUGUAUAGAAUGCCUUACUUUUUGCGAUUAUGCGCAAUCAAUACAACUUUCAACAACGGAUCUCUUGGCUCUCGCAUCGAUGAAGAACGCAGCGAAAUGCGAUACGUAAUGUGAAUUGCAGAAUUCAGUGAAUCAUCGAAUCUUUGAACGCACCUUGCGCCCCUUGGUAUUCCGAGGGGCACACCCGUUUGAGUGUCGUGAAACACCCUCAACCUUCUUGGUUUCUUGACCAGGAAGGCUUGGACUUUGGAGGUUUUCCUUGCUGGCCUUUCUUUGAAGCCAGCUCCUCCUAAAUGAAUUANUGGGGUUCGCUUUGCCGAUCCUUGACGUGAUAAGUAUGCUUCUACGUCUUGGGUUGCCCUGGAACCCGCUUCCAACUGUCUUUGAAUGAAGACAAAUGUUUGAGUUGCAUUGCAACUUAAACCCAGCGACCUUGACCUCAAAUCGGGUGAGACUACCCGCUGAACUUAAGCAUAUCAAUAAGCGGANGA